UACGGAGGGUGCAAGCGUUGUCCGGAAUCACUGGGCGUAAAGGGCGCGUAGGCGGCUCAUGAAGGCUGAUGGUGAAAGUCCGGGGCUCAACCUCGGAUCGGCCGUGGCGACUCGUGGGCUGGAGCACUGUAGAGGCGGGUGGAAUUCCGGGUGGUAGCGGUGGAAUGCGUAGAGAUCCGGAAGAACACCAGUGGCGAAGGCGGCCCGCUGGGCAGUGGCUGACGCUGGAGGCGCGGACAGCGUGGGGAGCAAACAGG
rnacentral:rRNA from 1 species